rnacentral:misc_RNA from 1 species
AACUUUUAACAAUGGAUCUCUUAGUUCUGGCAUCGAUGAAGAACGCAGCGAAAUGCGAUAAGUAAUGCGAAUUGCAGAAUUCAGUGAGUCAUCGAAUCUUUGAACGCACAUUGCGCCCUGUGGUAUUCCGCAGGGCAUGCCUGUUCGAGCGUCAUUUCAACCCUCAAGCCCUGCUUGGUGUUAGGCCAUGCCCUCGUGGCCGGCCCCAAAGCCAGUGGCGGUGCCGUCCGGCUCUAAGCGUAGUACAUCUCUCGCUCUAGGGUCCGGCGGUUGCCUGCCAGAACACAAACUCUUAUGGUUGACCUCGGAUCAGGUAGGGAUACCCGCUGAACUUAAGCAUAUCAAUAAGCGGAGGCU